CCGUCAUCCCCAUACCGCUUUUCAUUCCCAAAGCCGAAACGCUCUAGAACAGGGUCGACUUGCAUAGACUCACUCUCGUCGCAACCAUCGCUGUAUGACUGUCCUGCAGUCUCCCCCUUCGACUCGGACUAUUAGUUCGCGAAGCCUUCGGACACUUCCCGUCGGCUGCGAUCUUCCUUCAUUCUCUUCCAUAAGAUCCCUGAAACUGAUAGCCUCUCCCACGAAACCGCCUCUCUCACCAGUUGCUAUAUUUAAUGUUUCUGUUCUUUAGAACAUCCAACAUUUGCCCCACUUCCUUUUCUUUUUCGGCCCAUUUGUCUUUCAUCCCGUUUUUCAACUCUUCAUCGCACUGAUCUCUCCAGAGAGAAGGGUCGGGCUGAUUUUCCCAGACCUCUAUCAAUCCAUCACCCAUCCACCGCAGCUUUAGAGUCCUGUGCUCUUCCCGAAGCUCCGCUAGAAGAUGGAGGUACUUCAAAUAAUUAUUCCCAGUUGGAGUAUCUACAGCCAUGAUGGUUUCAUUAGCACGCUAUAGUUUGGUAUUACAAGGGGAAGAUUACAUUUGCUGGAUUGUACUCUCGUGCCCUGUCCCAUCUCAGCCUCUCCGUCCUCAUUUUCGCGCUCCUCAGGACUUUGCUCAGCCCGGCGUACAAGUCUCACCGUUUCUUCCCGAAGCCUUUUAAACUCCUCUAGGCGUCUGUCACCCAUUUGGAGGGCCUUUAUGCCUAAAUUAAUCGCAUCUCUCGUCUCGAAGAGGAUAUCGGAGCAAAACGGGUUGUCCGGCUUCUUUCCCAGAACUUCUUGCACUGAUUUUGCCAUUUCUGGUGGCUGUGCAGAUGCAAACUUAUUGAUGUAAUGUUCAACAGCCUUAUCGUAGGCCGCUACUCUCCUCUUUAACUUCAUUACAUCAAUUUUCUUCAAAACUUUAUCAACAAGGCCGACACCUGGUACAAUCACCCUGAGCUUAUGCAUAUUUCGCUCCCACAAUUCAACUCACCCAAACGCUCCAUGGUUCCAGAUCUUGUUUUGAGGAUGGGAUCAAUGGUCAUACGGUAAGUGAUCACCUGCCGUUGUAAGUUGCAUAGGGCUUCAUGCACUCGACAAAAACACUGCAAUUCCUCUUCUCCUUGAAUGAAUAUGUCUCAUGCCUUGUUGUUAUCGCUUUAACAGCGUUGGCCUGUUGGAUCGCUGCUACGUGGUCGUUGUUCUUCAACGCUUCCUCUAAACCUUGCCUGAAGCUAAGGCUUUGUCAGGGUUGUCACGCCGGUCAGCGUAAUGCCCGACGCUCAAUCAAGGGGGGCGGCGAGAAGGAGAGGACGAGGACAGAAUAGCCGAGGCCUGAUAGGAACAGGAGCCGGACUAAGGGCUGACCGAUGCGACUUUAGACGUGAAAAGGUCUAGAAGGUAGAAAGAUGGCCGGAGAGAGACCGAAGGACGAAGAGAGAUGUCGAGAAACCAAAGAGAAUUUAGACGAUCGGCCGCGGUCGUCGGAGGUGGAGGUGCUUUGGUUCGGCGGCCGAGAGAGGUAAAGGUUUCGGGCGUAGCUUCUGGGUAGCGCCGUGACAGGCUUCAGCCAGUGGCAUUUUUACGUCCGAUGCACUCACCAAGCCACGAUGAAGGCAACAGCCUCAGCUAUCAUUAGACCUAAUUCUCGGCACUUCUAGUCUCUGAGCUGUGCAUCGCUUUUUCUCCCGGCUUUACUCUGGUUGGCCUUCUGUGCCUCCCACUCAACUUCCAGCUUUUCGGCUGUCCGUCCGGCUUUCUCUGCUUUUUCAAUCCCUCUAACGCUUCGCCAAACCGCUUCCGAGCGAUUUGGUAAUGCUCUCUUUGAGCCAUGAAACUCAUUGACGUGAUCGACUCGGAAUUGAAUAUUCAUUAGUCGCAACGAAGCAUUCGAACGACGAUCCAACCUGAUCAACUUGCUUAACUUGGACCAUAGUCUCUCACACCCUUCUCCGUCUCUCAUGCCGAAUGAUCCGGUCAUGCGAGGAUUAUAUUGCAAUUGGCAUUGUCAAUUGUCUAUUUGGAGACCACCUGCUUUUCAUACAUCGUUGUGUACAUACCGGAUGAUACCUUCGUGCGGUUUCUCGUUGUAAUAUAACAAGGGUAAAGCCAAUUUCUGCAAAAGUUAAGCGUGUAAAGCGAUCGAAGCUGCCAAAUCUGCGUGGUUGUAUACAAGGGCCUUGUUAUCAUUGAGGAUAUUUAUGAACUCGUAGAUCAAAAUAGGCGGACAUUGGGAGCCACUUGUCAGUAUCGGUUGGGGCCUGAUUUUCGAUGAUGUCAUUAUUCGAGGUGUAAGAUGAGUUGAUCACUAUAGGAUAUUCGUCGAGCAUUAUAGCCUUGAAUAAAGGGAAGUACAAUAUCAUAUUUACUAGUAGCGGGAAACAGUUCGUUGUGG
rnacentral:sRNA from 1 species